CUCGGCAUACCCGCGCCAGGUUGGGUCCACCUCUUCCCAUUCCGAACAGAGAAGUUAAGCCCGCCAGAGCCGAUGGUACUGCAGUAAAAUGUGGGAGAAUAAGUCGGUGCCAAAU
rnacentral:rRNA from 1 species